rnacentral:rRNA from 1 species
UUAGAUUGGCCGACACGUUUUGCGAUAUGCUUAGGCAUUGCAAGAGGUCUGGCCUAUCUUCAUGAAGAAUCUAGCAUUUGUGUUGCGCACAGGGACAUCAAGGCCAGCAAUAUGUUACUUGAUGCCAAUCUCAAUCCUAAGAUCUUAGAUUUCGGGGUCGCCAAACUUUAUGAUGACCUGAAAACAUGUGGACACGAGGGUUGCUGGCAUAUUGUUACCACCUUGCUAACCUCUGUCUAUGUAGUAUUUUUGUAUGUAGUAGAUGGCAUCUUGAUCCUAUUGAUCCUACUGGCCGAUGUUGAUGACUUCUCGGCCAUGAAGAACUCAUCCGCACUCUACAAGGUCACGCCGGCUCCACGUUGGAGCGGUGGAGGUGGCUCGGCGGCACGCGUUCAGCCCGCAUCGAAGUUUGUGGUGGGUCGAAGCCCCAAUGACUCAGUUAUAACUUCUGUUUUCUUUGGAGUGCUUGUACCACCGGCGUCCUUUAAUAUAUGA